UAACACGUAGGUGAUCUACCCCAGAGACGGGGAUAACGGGUGGAAACAUCCGCUAAUACCGGAUAGGCUUGUUCGGUCAAAGGGACAAGGAAAGGCUCCGGCGCUCUGGGAGGAGCCUGCGGCCCAUCAGCUAGUUGGCGGGGUAACGGCCCACCAAGGCAGAGACGGGUAGGGGGUGUGAGAGCAUGGCCCCCCACAAUGGGACUGGAACACGGCCCAUACUCCUACGGGAGGCAGCAGCGGGGAAUAUUGCACAAUGGACGGAAGUCUGAUGCAGCGACGCCGCGUGGAUGAAGAAGGCCCUCGGGUUGUAAAAUCCUUUACAGGGGGAAGAGGAAGGACGGUACCCCUGGAACAAGUGUCGGCUAACUACGUGCCAGCAGCCGCGGUAAGACGUAGGACACAAGCGUUAUCCGGAUUUACUGGGCGUAAAGCGUCUGCAGGCGGACAGGUAAGUUGGGCGUGAAAGCUCCGGGCCCAACCCGGAGAGGUCGUUCAAUACUGCGUGUCUAGAGGGUGUCAGAGGGGAGUGGAAUUUCCGGAGUAGCGGUAAAAUGCGCAGAGAUCGGAAAGAACACCAAUGGCGAAGGCAGCUCCCUGGGGCAACCCUGACGCUAAGAGACGAAAGCUAGGGGAGCGAACAGGAUUAGAGACCCUGGUAGUCCUAGCCCUAAACGAUGGAUGCUGGAUGUGGGGCCAUAGCGCUCCGUGUCGAAGCGAACGCGUUAAGCAUCCCGCCUGGGGACUACGGCCGCAAGGUUAAAACUCAAACGAAUUGACGGGACCCCGCACAAGCAGCGGAGCGUGUGGUUUAAUUCGAUGCUACACGAAGAACCUUACCUGGGUUUGACAUCUAGGUGGUAGUGAAGCGAAAGCGGAGCGACCCUUCGGGGAGCCUAGACAGGUGCUGCAUGGCUGUCGUCAGCUCGUGCCGUGAGGUCUCGGGUUAAGUCCCGUCACGAGCGCAACCCUUGCCCUCCGUUAUAAGUGUCAGAGGGGACUGCCGGCGGUAAGCCGGAGGAAGGUGGGGACGACGUCAAGUCAGCAUGGCUUUUAUAUCCAGGGAUACACACUCGCUACAAUGACCAGUACAAAGGGCAGGGAAGCCUCGAGGUGG
rnacentral:rRNA from 1 species